UUGUAUUCAUUCAACUUGUUUUUAUUAUUGCUUGUUAGCCGCCCUGAGCCCGGCCUUGGCUGGGGAGGGCGGGGUAUAAAUAAAAAUUAUUAUUAUUACUGUAUAUUAAUAAUAAUAAUAAUAAUAAAUUUUAUUUAUAUCCCGCCCUCCCCAGCCGAAGCCGGGCUCAGGGCGGCUAACAACAAUAAAACAGUACAAAAGUACA